rnacentral:lncRNA from 1 species
AGUCUAGUUUCAAGGAUCUCUAGUUUUCUUGUCUUUUGGCAAUAGCCAUUCCAGUUUCUCUUUCAAUAUAUAUCCUUGUUUAUUUAUAUUUUGUUACCUUUCUUUGAGUGAAGGCUCACUUGUCUAAAUUUUUUUUUCAUCGAGUUUUUGUCGUUGACAAUAAAUCCUAAACAAAUCUUAAAUCUUAAAUUAUAUUCUAAAUCAAAUCCUAAUCUUAAAUCAAAUUCUAAAUCAAAUCCUAGACAAACUCUAAAUCCUAAAUCAAAUCCUAGACAAAUCCUAAAUCCUAAAUCAAACCUUAAAUAAAUUUUAAAUCUUAAAUCAAACCUUAAAUAAAUCCUAAAUCCUAAAAUAAUUCCUAAAUCAAAUCCUAAUCCUAAACUAAAUCCUAGUCAAAUCUUUAAUCCUAAAUCAAAUCUUA